rnacentral:rRNA from 1 species
GCGAGCGGCGGGACGGGUGAGUAACACGGUACGGGUAACUCGACCCAAGAAGACGUGGGAUAACACCGUAGGAAACAGAUGCUAAAUCCGGAUAACAACACUAGACGCAUGUCUAGAGUUUGAAAGAUGGGUUCUGCUAUCACUCUUGGAUGGACCUGCGGUGCAUUAGCUAGUUGGUAAGGUAACGGCUUACCAAGGCAAUGAUGCAUAGCCGAGUUGAGAGACUGAUCGGCCACAUUGGGACUGAGACACGGCCCAAACUCCUACGGGAGGCAGCAGUAGGGAAUCUUCCACAAUGGACGAAAGUCUGAUGGAGCAACGCCGCGUGAGUGAAGAAGGGUUUCGGCUCGUAAAGCUCUGUUGGUAGUGAAGAAAGAUAGAGGUAGUAACUGGCCUUUAUUUGACGGUAAUUACUUAGAAAGUCACGGCUAACUACGUGCC